CCCAGGUACUAUAUGAGGUAAUCCCCCAAUAAAUAUGCUUACGAACAGCCCAGUCUUUAAGUGGAACCAAGGGGGUGUCUCAUCCAUUACAACUAAAUUCUGGGUGGGCUGGCCCUUUUCCAGCAUCUCAUUUGUAGACUCUGAACACGCCUGCCAAGAUUUAUCUGCAAGCCCCCAGGGGGACAGAAACCAAAGUGAUCUGCAUUAAAAAUGAAAGCAACUGAAGACGACAAACCAAGCUUUUGAAGCAGCCAGAGAGAUUUACUGGGCUUCUCAGCAAGACUGGAUGGCAGUGAUGCCACAGGACAGCCAUCGAUUCUUAGCAAUGAAGAAUCUGUAUUGAUCUUCUUCUCCCGGAAAGAGACACAGAGAGAGGCAGAGACACAGGCAGAGAGAGAAGCAGGCUCCAUGCAGGGAGCCCGACCUGGGACUCGAUCCCGGGUGUCCAAGAUCACACCCAAGGCUGCAGGCGGCGCUAAACUGCUGCGUCACCAGGACUGCCCUGGGAAGGAACUUUAGUAGAAAUCUUACAGUGCACAAAAACCAAGGAAGGUAAUUGUAUAUGCAGUAGACAACAGAGGGCAGCAAACAAGACAAUGACACUGGAAACCAUGGAGUUAAGAAUGCGUUUGGAAGAAAAACACAUUGGGAGAAAAAUACUGACUAUUGGAAAGAUAAAUAAUGUAUUUUCGGGGAUACCAGGACUUGAAAUGAUAGAGAAAUAUCAA